rnacentral:rRNA from 1 species
UACGUAGGAGGCGAGCGUUGUCCGGAGUUACUGGGCGUAAAGGGUGCGCAGGCGGCCGUGUGUGUGAGGCGUGAAAGCCCGGGGCUUAACCCCGGAAUUGCACCUCAAACUACACGGCUAGAGCAUUGGAGAGGGUAGCAGAAUUCACGGUGUAGCAGUGAAAUGCGUAGAUAUCGUGAGGAAUACCAGAGGCGAAGGCGGCUACCUGGACAAUUGCUGACGCUCAGGCACGAAAGCGUGGGGAGCAAAAGGG